rnacentral:rRNA from 1 species
UACGAAGGGUGCAAGCGUUAAUCGGAAUUACUGGGCGUAAAGCGCGCGUAGGUGGUUCAGUAAGUUGGAAGUGAAAUCCCCGGGCUCAACCUGGGAACUGCUUCAAAACUGCUGAGCUAGAGUACGGUAGAGGGUGGUGGAAUUUCCUGUGUAGCGGUGAAAUGCGUAGAUAUAGGAAGGAACACCAGUGGCGAAGGCGACCACCUGGACUGAUACUGACACUGAGGUGCGAAAGCGUGGGGAGCAAACAGG